rnacentral:rRNA from 1 species
ACCAGACUCCUACGGGAGGCAGCAGUGAGGAAUAUUGGUCAAUGGGCUUACGCCUGAACCAGCCAAGUCGCGUGAGGGAAGACUGCCCUAUGGGUUGUAAACCUCUUUUGUCAGGGAGCAACGCCGGCUACGUGUAGCCGGACUGAGAGUGCCUGAAGAAAAAGCAUCGGCUAACUCCGUGCCAGCAGCCGCGGUAAUACGGAGGAUGCGAGCGUUAUCCGGAUUUACUGGGUGUAAAGGGUGCGCAGGCGGCUCUGCAAGUCAGGCGUGAAAGCUAGGGGCUCAACCCCUAAAUUGCGCUUGAAACUGUGGAGCUUGAGUGAAGUAGAGGCAGGCGGAAUUCCCGGUGUAGCGGUGAAAUGCGUAGAGAUCGGGAGGAACACCAGUGGCGAAGGCGGCCUGCUGGGCUUUAACUGACGCUCAGGCACGAAAGCAUGGGUAGCAAACAGGAUUAGAUACCCCUGUACU